AGAAGCUUAGGAUAAUUUUAUUAAACCAGGGGCCUUCAAAGCCCAAAAUGAGAGCGGAACCCUCUUAGCUUCUGA
rnacentral:tRNA from 1 species